CGUGGUUUGAAUUUCGCGGACGAAAUUCUUUUAAGGGGUGGAGAAUGUAACAUACCAGAUUUUAGUAUAAAAAUAAAAAUAAAUAAAAAUAGUGUGAGAUACUAUUUUUAUUGGAUUUAGAGGAGUUAAACAUAAGUCAGAAGUGACUUGUGCUGAAAUCGGAAUGAAAACAAAAGAUUUAGAAUUUUCUGUUGGAAACGGGACAGAUAAAUUAGCAGAAAAUGCACAGUGUCAUAAAAUUAUGAAAACUGGAGAAUAAGUCAGAAUUAUUUUUAUGAGGCUAGAUUUAAAGUUUCAUGUCAUUCUGGCACCCGGAAGGUGGAAAAUAAAAUCCGACAGCUAUCUGAUAAAGAUUAUAGUUCGGUAUAGUUUUCAGUGAUCAAACUGGGUCGAAACUGAAAACUUAAGAUAUAUUCUUACUCAGUACGUUAAACCGAGCCUGCCUGUCAAAUUUGAGCCCAAACGGACAUUCAGAAGGGCUUCGACUGUUCCGAACUGCUAAACUGCCUG
rnacentral:lncRNA from 1 species